CACCGCGGUUAUACGAGAGGCUCAAAUUGAUGACCAACGGCGUAAAGAGUGAUUAGAGAAUAAACAACUAAAGCUGAAAACACCCUAGGCCGUAAUACGCUUUCCGGGGAUAGAAAACCUAAAACGAAAGUAGCUUUAAUAAACUUGAAUUCACGACCCUUGAGGAA
rnacentral:rRNA from 1 species